rnacentral:rRNA from 1 species
UACAGAGGUCUCAAGCGUUGUUCGGAUUCAUUGGGCGUAAAGGGUGCGUAGGUGGCGCCGUAAGUCAGGUGUGAAAUCUCGGGGCUUAACUCCGAAACUGCAUUUGAUACUGCCGUGCUUGAGGACUGGAGAGGAGACUGGAAUUUACGGUGUAGCAGUGAAAUGCGUAGAGAUCGUAAGGAAGACCAGUGGCGAAGGCGGGUCUCUGGACAGUUCCUGACACUGAGGCACGAAGGCCAGGGGAGCAAACGGG